GUUAGGAGAAAGGACAGGGAAUCAACAGCAUAUUAAUGCUUUUGGACCCCAACUUGCUAGGGGAUAUUUUAGUGCAAAGAAUAACCUUACAAACUCUAUAAAUAUGAAAGACUACAGCCUUUAACAUAUGCUGUUCUUACACAUGAAGACAAAAACCAAGGUGAUUUUGAAGUUUCUCACUUUCUAGUUGGGUCUGUAGCUCAUUAAAUGGGAAUCAAUUUUCCACACGACCAAAAAAAAAAAAUAGACAUUGAACAUUUUAUAAAAUUUAACAUAUAUUUUAUAACUUUUGUAGUUUAACAUUUUAUAAAAACGAAACAAAACACAUACAAGAUCAAUGCUAUACUAAAGAGAAUAUGCCAAAACACCUAUCCAACACUGGGAAGCAGACAAGUAAGUACCCACAAAGAAUCUGUGGCAGACUGAUUCUUUCAAUGAAAACUAUGCUUAUUUUAGCAAGUUAAAAGAUCCUCAAUGCAGCUCAACCAGCUUGAAUGUAUCCAACACACUCUCACCUGGUUUGGGCUUCGGCCUUACAUUUUCCGCAUCAUCUCCAUUGAUGGUUACUGUGACAACAUGUGUGGUACAGUUCGACAAGCCUGGAUCCAGACACACAGCUGGGAAAAAAGUGACAACUGUCUUAAGAAAUGAGGCAGGUGCCUUAGUCCCUUGCCACUUGUCUCACUGAUGUCACAGAAGAGCUGGGGCUCAGGGGUCAUUCAGCGGGUAUCUAGUCAGUAGAUGCCACCAGACUGUAGAACGUGUGUGCAACUCCUAAAGCUCUCAAACUUCCUGGAGUUCUUGCAUCAGUCUGGGAAGUCGGAGGGGUUAGAGGGAGCAUUCUGAUGGGGACAAACAAACCCAGUGAGGAGUAUGGCUGAGACAGAAAACUACCUCGGCCCAGCAAUGAAGUGCCAGGAGGGAGUGCCCAUACGGUCAUAUAAGGAACAGAUAGACCAAACAGGGAAAGUAACAACUCAGGUUCAUUUUCCUGAAUGGGAUACAACUGUGUAAAGAGCAAGUAAAAUAUGGAGUCUGACUAUGUUGUUUCUACUGCCCAGGCUAACUCCAACUCCUCAUUUUCCUGCUCCAGCCUCCUGAGGGUAUAGGACUACAGGUGUGCACCACCAGGCCCAGCCACAUUCUUAAGGAAGUCAAAGUUGAAACUGAACAUGUCACACAGGGCCAAGGAUGGGAAGCCCCUGCUCCCCACGCAGCAGCCACUAAAGUGGCAGCUGGUGAAGAGGGUGGUCUGCAUGUUGCUAGAGGUCCCUUAAGCAAGAAGCCAGUGGAGGCCCACCAUGUCUUCUAUGUCAAUGGACCGACUUUUGCUGUUUUAGAAUAUAAGUUCUUCCCCUUGAAAUAAUCUGGCCUUAAAACAAAACCAGACAGCUACUGGCUGUGGAGACAGCCACCACCAGGGACGACUGUUAGCAGCUCCCAAAUGCUUUAACAGUGAAGAGCAGCUGUAGCAAAGCAACUGUUUGUCUCCUAUGAAAACAAACCAAAUCAAGAUGGAAAAUCAAAAAGCUCAGUUUUUCCAGACCACAUGUGGCUACAGGAUGUUUCUGAUGCGGUUGCAGCCAAACCACGUAUGCCUGCAAGGGGAGGUGAACGGGAGCCCUUUCCCAAUAAUCUUUCCUCUCAACAGAAGCAUGAAGGUGGGAGAUCAUUUCACCACACCAAAGGCACUCACCUUCCGAGUACAAAGGACUCCAGUGUCUUCACAUACGAAGACACAGCAUGUAGCUUCAAAUUAUAUUGACAUAUGUUUGGCUACAAAGGUUAACACAUCUUUCUUUCAAAACUGUUCUUAGCUUAGGAAAUGGGAGUCAGAAGUUACUUAUAUAGAAAGCUCUGGAACAUAGCAUUGUAAAAACAGGAGAUUCACACAAAAAAUCCUAAUUGAAGGUUAAUUCUGCUUUGAGGUCUUUGGUUAUAUUAAACACCAUCUUACAAUUCA